CGAACGCUUCUUUCCUCCCGAGUGCUUGCACUCAAUUGGAAAGAGGAGUGGCGGACGGGUGAGUAACACGUGGGUAACCUACCCAUCAGAGGGGGAUAACACUUGGAAACAGGUGCUAAUACCGCAUAACAGUUUAUGCCGCAUGGCAUAAGAGUGAAAGGCGCUUUCGGGUGUCGCUGAUGGAUGGACCCGCGGUGCAUUAGCUAGUUGGUGAGGUAACGGCUCACCAAGGCCACGAUGCAUAGCCGACCUGAGAGGGUGAUCGGCCACACUGGGACUGAGACACGGCCCAGACUCCUACGGGAGGCAGCAGUAGGGAAUCUUCGGCAAUGGACGAAAGUCUGACCGAGCAACGCCGCGUGAGUGAAGAAGGUUUUCGGAUCGUAAAACUCUGUUGUUAGAGAAGAACAAGGACGUUAGUAACUGAACGUCCCCUGACGGUAUCUAACCAGAAAGCCACGGCUAACUACGUGCCAGCAGCCGCGGUAAUACGUAGGUGGCAAGCGUUGUCCGGAUUUAUUGGGCGUAAAGCGAGCGCAGGCGGUUUCUUAAGUCUGAUGUGAAAGCCCCCGGCUCAACCGGGGAGGGUCAUUGGAAACUGGGAGACUUGAGUGCAGAAGAGGAGAGUGGAAUUCCAUGUGUAGCGGUGAAAUGCGUAGAUAUAUGGAGGAACACCAGUGGCGAAAGCGGCUCUCUGGUCUGUAACUGACGCUGAGGCUCGAAAGCGUGGGGAGCAAACAGGAUUAGAUACCCUGGUAGUCCACGCCGUACACGAUGAGUGCUAAGUGUUGGAGGGUUUCCGCCCUUCAGUGCUGCAGCAAACGCAUUAAGCACUCCGCC
rnacentral:rRNA from 1 species